rnacentral:tRNA from 1 species
GUUUUAAUAGUUUAAAAUAAAACACUGAUCUUGUAAAUCAGAAAUAUGUGCAACUUUUAAAACU